CCUCACGGCUCUAGCGUCUACCCUCACCCCCCCCCCCGGGUCUCUCUCCCUCCAUUGCGUCUCUCUCCCUCUCUAUGCUCACCGUCGUGUUUUCCGCACAGCCCACCGUCAUCCAAUCUCCCUUAUCUGCUUGAAAUCGAUGUUUGAAGGCUGUAGUUCAAAUGCCCGCUGUCGCACUGCUCUUCCACCACCUUGCUGUCACCGUCGAGAUGCCACCCACAAAGAGGGGUGUGGGCUGUGGUCGAUGCGUCCUUCAGGAGCCUUUAGGAGCAAAUACUCUUCUGGCUGACAAAGAGUUGAAAAUUUCCGACAAAAGAAAUAGAUCUGUAAUAAACUUUUUGCUGGUUGGAUUUGCACAGGCUUUCCUUGAAAUUGAAGGUCACAUGAUCGAGACUACCAUGAAGUAAAAGCAGGAGGCUUCCUUCUAGGUAUGUUGUUCAGGACAUGCCAAACGGCUACUUCAAGGCCAGAUCAAGAGCUCAAGAAACUACUCUGGUUGUCACUAGGAAUGGUUUUGUCUCUUUGUGAAAGCCAUGUUACAGGAUAGCUGAUGUACAACAUAUUGUCGAGUUAAGGUUUUAGUACAUUGUUUUAGUUUAAAAUUUAUUUUGUGGCUGCAUGUCUCUCUCAAGGCAUGUUAAAUUUUAUUUUAUUUUUCUUUUUCCAAUGACCAUAUGUAUUAAUCAAGUACUCCUAAUGAAAAAAAGUUUCAUUCUCCUAUACA